CGAGUCUAGACUCGUGGCAGAUAGCUCAGUAACACGUGGCCAAGCUACCCUUCAGUCGGCAAUACCCUCGGGAAACUGAGGUUAACGGCCGAUGUGGGACGCCUGCUGGAAUGCAGCGUUCUCUAAAGGCGACGCUGAAGGAUGCGGCUGCGGCCGAUUAGGUUGACGGUGGGGUAACGGCCCACCGUGCCAGUAAUCGGUACGGGUGAUGAGAGUCAGAGCCCGGAGACGGAAUCUGAGACAAGAUUCCGGGCCCUACGGGGCGCAGCAGGCGCGAAACCUUUACACUGCACGGAAGUGCGAUAGGGGAAUCCCAAGUGCGAGGGCAUAUUCGCCCUCGCUUUUGUUGACCGUAAGGUGGUCAACGAAUAAGAGCUGGGCAAGACCGGUGCCAGCCGCCGCGGUAAUACCGGCAGCUCGAGUGAUGUCCAAUAUUAUUGGGCCUAAAGCGUCCGUAGCUGGCCGCGCAAGUCCGUCGGGAAAUCCACCUGCCCAACAGGUGGGCGUCCGGCGGAAACUGUGUGGCUUGGAACCGGAAGGCUCAGAGGGUACGUCCGGGGUAGGAGUGAAAUCCCGUAAUCCCGGACGGACCACCGAUGGCGAAAGCACUCUGAGAAGACGGCUUCGACAGUGAGGGACGAAAGCUAGGGUCUCAAACCGGAUUAGAUACCCGGGUAGUCCUAGCUGUAAACGAUGCUCGUUAGGUGUGGCACCCACUACGAGUGGGUGCUGUGCCGCAGGGAAGCCGCUAAACGAGCCGCCUGGGAAGUACGUCCGCAAGGAUGAAGCUUAGAGGAAUUGGC
rnacentral:rRNA from 1 species